CUGCUCUGCUGGAGUUUUGGAAGUGAGCCCAGGAUAAGGAGGACAAUCAGAUGCUGGCACAGGCUGCCUGCUGUGGAUGCUCCAUUCCUGGAGACCUUUAAGGCUAGGUUGGAUGAGGACCCAGGCAGCCUGAUCUAGUGGGGGACAGAGCAUUGGAACUUGGUGCUCUCCCUGGGGGUGUUCAAGACCAGAUUGGAUGAGGCCCUGGGCAAAGCAAACCAGUCUACUACCAGAUCUGGAGGCUUUGCAUCACUGAAAGGUGAAAGAAAGACAACAUGGUGAGCAGAGGAAAAGAUGUCCUGUGCUGCUCAUUGUUGCCAAGGACAGAGCUCGGAAAAGGAGUCAGGAGUGAGAUGAUCGUCCUCAGCAUUAGCCAUGGACACCAUCUCUUACACAUAUCUACGCAAUCCCUCUUCUUCUGAAUAAAUAUUCUAUCUGAUCUUCAGCAUUUGAAAGAUCUUCUGUAACUUUUUGCCAUAUUGAAUGCUAGAUAAUGUGUCCAAGAUUUCAAAGAGCCUCAUCACAUAGGAACAGACUGAGAUUUUUUGGGAUCUGUCACAAAAAAUUUGAGACCACAGGAUUGAGAGCACUUAUGCAAGAGGGGAGAUAUAUUCACAUGCACACAAGAAUUGCCUUCAAAGAUUUGCGUGAAAUUAUUCAGAUGAAGAAACCCUAGAUCCUUUCCUUAAAAUAGCUUCUGGCAGAGUUAUCUUAGGGGACUUUUCACCUUGUGGAUGUAAUUCCUUAAUUAAUUACUUCAUCUUCUGUCUACAAUCCUGCAAACCUCUUGGCAGAUGUUAUAAUACAGUUACAUAUUCAUGUGAUUCAAGCUUUGUCUCAAGACAAAUAUGCUUUUUGUUAAUAACAAUACAGAUUAUAAUCACAAUUCUUUUCUUUUUAAAGUAGUAGCUCACCAACACACCUAAGCAUCAGCAGAUCUGGGCAGCUAGUUAGUAAUAAAUAAGUUAGGUUGAAUCUUCAGACAAGAAUAUAUGUAAGUACAUGCCUUUAAAUGUACCCAUCUAGAUAUUCAACAGCUGCACUUCAUUGUAAUUACAGUAAGUUUUUACCUCUUUAAUGCAAAAUAUGGAAGACAAGUAUUCGUGCUAUUCCACAUUCUACAUUUUUGCAUUUUCUGCAUUCACUGAGACAGAUUCAGAGCCUCUGUCAUUAUGUGAUUUUGGUGUAUUGUCCAGGGCACAUGGGAAGGAUGGCUGAUUUUUGUCCAGUAAAACUUUGCUGACCAAAUUUAUAGAAGAAUCUUAUUAAGAAUCUGACCUCCUGAGCCUUCAUCUAGAAGAACAGCUGCAAAACAAGUUUGCAUAGGCAUCUGUUUCAGUGGGAAUGUAUCUGAAAAGGUAAUCCUUCAAGUAGCAGUCAGCCCACACAGGCAUACAUGCAAGUGCAGAUAAAUAUAUAACAUAUCAGCACAAAUCCAAGAGGUAAAAAUGGGAAACAUCUGGGGCUAAAAUUUCUAAUGAGAAAAGAUGGGAGAUAGCGAAGUUUCAAGAUGAUCAAGUGAUACGUUUUAUGAAUAAUAUUAAGCAAAAUUUAUUUCCAGGUGUUCCUCCCUAUUAAUCUGUCUAUGUUUAUUGUCUUUGACUCUGUGAUACCUAGAUACCAGAAGACUUUUAAGGAAACAGUGACUUUCUUUUCCAUCUUUCCAUCUUCAUUCAUCUCCUGCUUGGACUAGAGCUUUGGACAGAAGCAUUGGUUGUUGGGAAGCUAAAUCAAAAGAACAAGCAUGUUUGUCAGAUCUUGCUGGGCUGAUACUCUAAUUUCUUGCUAAAAUAAACUUUGCAACUGACAUAAAACGGAAUCCUGCUUUGUGUCCUGUGAUUAGAAAUUUCACUAUUACAUUAGAAGUUCUUAUGAGGGAUGAUGCUUGUGGAAAAAGAUGUGCUUACUUGGGU